GGCUGGUCAGAUGGGAGUGAGUCAUCAGGAAAAAUUAUUAACAUUAGUGUCACUGAAGUUGGUAUACAGUCCAACUGCUGGCCUUGACUGGCUUUAA
rnacentral:Y_RNA from 1 species